rnacentral:rRNA from 1 species
AGUGAACGCUGGCGGUAUGCCUAACACAUGCAAGUCGAACGGCAGCACAGUAAGAGCUUGCUCUUACGGGUGGCGAGUGGCGGACGGGUGAGGAAUACAUCGGAAUCUACUUUUUCGUGGGGGAUAACGUAGGGAAACUUACGCUAAUACCGCAUACGACCUACGGGUGAAAGCAGUGGAUCUUCGGACCUUGCGCGAUUGAAUGAGCCGAUGUCGGAUUAGCUAGUUGGCGUGGUAAAGGCCCACCAAGGCGACGAUCCGUAGCUGGUCUGAGAGGAUGAUCAGCCACACUGGAACUGAGACACGGUCCAGACUCCUACGGGAGGCAGCAGUGGGGAAUAUUGGACAAUGGGCGCAAGCCUGAUCCAGCAAUACCGCGUGGGUGAAGAAGGCCUUCGGGUUGUAAAGCCCUUUUGUUGGGAAAGAAAAGCAGCAGGUUAAUACCUCGCUGUUCUGACGGUACCCAAAGAAUAAGCACCGGCUAACUUCGUG